rnacentral:rRNA from 1 species
UACAGGGGGGGCAAGCGUUGUUCGGAAUUACUGGGCGUAAAGGGCUCGUAGGUGGCCAACUAAGUCAGACGUGAAAUCCCUCGGCUUAACCGGGGAACUGCGUCUGAUACUGGAUGGCUUGAGAUUGGGAGAGGGAUGCGGAAUUCCAAGUGUAGCGGUGAAAUGCGUAGAUAUUGGGAAGAACACCGGUGGCGAAGGCGACCAUCUGGACCGGAACUGACGCUGAGGCGCGAAAGCCAGGGGAGCGAAUGGG